UUUUUUUCCUAUGAAAAUUUUCUGAAAUCAAGAUGUCCUUUAUUUUGAUAUGUAUAUUAAUUUCCUAGAGCAUUAUGCUCAUAUCAUAGGUUUUUCUGGUUUUCAACUCAAAGGUAAGAACAGAGUUUCUGAUAAGAGCCAUCUGUAUGGAGGGGGAAUUAUUUUUUAAAGUUUUUGCUGAGAAUGUUAUUGGCAAUUUAGCACUUCGGUCAAAUUUGCAGACUGCAAAAUUCUUUCUUUAUGGUGAAGCAUAAAGAGACUAACGAUGAUUGUGUUAAGAUCAACGCUAAAGAAAGGCUCUUGCCUGUAUCUCUUCCUCCUUCUCCCAGAUUUUGUAGAACUGGGAAAUUUUGAAGUGCUUUGAAGAUGAGAAUUUGUAUAUAAACAUCAAGUAUUACGGCAGUGAUUUGUUAGCAUUCACUCUUAGUACAUAUGCAUAACAGCUGACGUGCUGCAGAAAUCCAAAGUGGAGUUCAAAUCCCACAAACUGUAUUUGUAGCUCUCUUCCUGCUGAGCUAAUGAUAUUUGUAGCGCUCUUCCUGCUGAAAUAGUGCUACCAAUAAAAACAGCCCCAGGGGUUUUUUUUGGGGAAUAGGAGGAGGGAUGAUUGGAAGGCGGAGGUGAAGGUGGGGACAUGAGUAAAAGGUGGACAUGACAGCUCUCUAAGCAGUCAGAGUACAUGCUCUGACAUGGCAUAUGAACAUCGGUUUGAAGAAUCCUUUCAUGUCUUCAGAAUGCUAAUAUGAAAUGCAAAACGUCAUGCUUUGGAUAGAUUGGUAGGAACAAAAUGUUCAGAUGCAAUAUGGUGCAUUAAGUACAGUCUCCAGUCUGUAUUCCUGGCUUUUCCAUUGGUUUAAAUCAGACUUGCUGUUUUUAAAGUCUCCCAUGUCAUGUUGAGUUACUGCUAUAGUCGUCUCUAAAAAUAAGUAUACCGUCAUUUCUGAGACCCACCAAAAGCUGAGGCUUUGGCAUAAUAAUCUUCAAUUUUUGUUACACUGUUGAUAUGACAGAGUUCUUUACAAUAUACAUACCUUGCGUAGUUCUUAACAGGUUCCCACCCUGCAAAGCCUUUAAAUUAAAUCAGGCAGAUGUUGUAGAAAAGGUGUGUUACACUUCUGAAUAAGUGGGGUUUUUCCAGGGGAAAGUGGGUAGAAGAAACACUAUAGUUUUUCCUACAUAAGAUAUAAUAUUGAUGAUUUCUAGCAUCUGCAUGGUAAAAUCCAGGUCUCUGCAAGGAUUCUGUAAUGAGAUAGUGAACAACUAGUAAUUAUCUUCUAGUACAAGGAAAGCUUUUCCAGCAGUACUUUCCUGAACUACACUGACACAGGAUGGAAGUUUUGAAAAGAUAGAAAGCAGUUAUUCAAAUAAGAAGCUGGUGUGAAAAAAGAUGAGAAAGGAGGCUAAAAGAGAAAAUGUGUUUUUUUUACCUGUUCCACAGUAUUUUGCCACAACUCAGCUCUCAAGCUUUUCUUCUCUCUCUCUGCACCAAUACCUAAUUUGAAUUUUAAAAUUACCACAUUGUUUCCUUCCUAAAAUUGUAACUGACAUUCCUAGAAAAUUUGCUUUCCCAGAAAAGCAUUGUGCGUAGGCUGUAAAUUUAGCUUUUCACAAGUGAGGAAAAGACAUUUUCUUCAAUAACCUACACUGCCAACGUGACCACAAAAUGUGCGCAGAGUCAGCAUUUGUCCGUUUAAAUCAGACUUUUGAGCACAUGAUUCACCACCAAAAUUCAUUUAUGCAGGUGUGGGCAUUGUACUUAUUUGAAAGGAUUUAUUCAGUUGAGUAGUGUAUUAUUUUCAUUGCGGGAUUUGGUUUUCAAUUCAUACUGUGUAACACAAAACUUCUUUGUAUUAUACACUAACAUUGUGGGAUUUUGUUGGCUUUUGUUUGGUUGUUUUUUUGUCAUUGUUGUUUGUUGGCUUUGUUUUGUUUCGUUUCUCCCAGUGAUAUAUUUUAAACUUCCUCAGUUCCAAUUUCUGCCUCUUAAUCCUGUAAGGUCCUUGGACUCUCCCGAUGAGGAAUUCAUAGAAUCACAGAAUGGCUUGGGUUGGAAGAGACCUUAAAGCCCAUUUAGAUCCAACCCCCUGCCAUGGGCUCGUUGCCACUCAGCAGACGAGGCUGCUCAGGACCCCAUCCAGCCUGGCCUUGAACAGCUCCAGUGAUGGGACAUCCACAUCUUCUCUGGGCAGCCUAUGCCAGUGCCAUUCCCAUGAUAUCACUCUCAUUCUAGAGAAUUUUACACAAGCCACUGUGAAAGAGUGUGCUCUGAUGCUACUUCUGCUAUAUAGAGCCUCCAUAGCGUAGGCUUGAUCCCAGGCUGUCAUCCAGAAUGUUCAGAAGUGUGUAGAAGGGGCUGCUCACAAGAAAGGAUGUGAAUGUGGACCGUAGCCUCUCCUCCUCAGCUAGCUGCUGUUUAUGGCAGUGUGGAUAUGACAGGUAAGCUUCAGCAUGGCUUACAUGCAUACCAAGACUGUAAAGAAUUCACAGCUAAUGCAUGCCAGUGUAGUGGUGUUUGAAAGGGAUGUUUAUACUCUCAUUAGCACUAAUCAGUGUGAUGUGCCAUCCUGAAGGUGAAAGAUACUGCAGGUAACUGGGCAAUUCACCCUCUCUUCUCUCACUUCCCCUCAUUUUAGGAUGGUGUUAUAGCUGCCCCUGCCACAGUGUGCAACCACAUCAUUCUCUGGCCUGCUGGAGUAGGGAGGGGUUGUGCUGAAGGUGAGAUCACCUUCACCUCUCUGCCACAAUUUGCAAGGAAGUGACAUCAAUGACAAAACACUCGGGCAGCAGUGCUUGCCACGAGCAACUCAAAACUGUAUGUAACAUUUCAACCCACUUUGUCAUGGCACUUCAAGUGUGCAGAGCAAGCUUCAAACUCCAGCAGUUAUGGAUUCAGAUUACAUGUUCGUGACAAGAAAAAAAGAAAAAAAAGAAAAAGAAAUAAUCAGAGGAUAGUUGCAGUGACUCAUAUCAUUGGGAGUCCCAUUCAAAUGCAGAGCAUUAAACAGAAAUUGGAAUUAGUAAUACUGCAGAAAGAACAAAAUAUAACAUAUUUGCAGAUUGGAAACAGCUUGGCUUUUUACAGAGUCGAAUUAGUAGCCUGCUGCUUUGAAGCUUGCACUGUCACUGACGCAGCAAAGAUGGCAUUAAGUAUGAGCUUUCUGGUUGCACAGAGUUCUGCGCUUGUAGUGUUGGCUAAGUGUGCUGGUACAAAAAAGGAAGGGUCAGCUGCUUUAAGUGCCCUGGCAAGGUGGGACAGGGGGAGCAAGAGGGGAUGCCUGUGUUCUGGCAGAACACAGAGGCGAUGAAGGAGAAUGGUCUGUUGAAGUCAUUCUCCUUAAAUGAGUGUAGUACUUCUCUGCUCAUGGAAAAAUAGGCUGUCGAUGUAGGAUGCUGGUGUGGAUGAUGAUUCAGGGCAAGAGGUUCUGGAAGUGCUUUGAAGAAUCCUCUGGAUGAGCCAGUACCUGCAGUGACUGCAAAGAAGGCCUCGGGAUUUUGUGUCCCGCCACUGAGGUGGUCUGGGCAGUGAGCCACGAAGUUGCUGACACUUCGUGUACCCAAGGAGCAGCCAAGAUCCAGGAUCACGGUGUCCGGCUGUCAGCAGAGAGCAGGGAGCAUUCACACAUGAACAAGUCUUCCUUUGAGAACUGGAGGCUGAAGCCUUCCUCAGAUAAAUGGCGUGCAUACAGGAGUAAGGAGCUGCCUGGACCCAGAGGGCUGAGAGGACUGCAGCACAGAGCUGCCUGUGGAUACAUUUGCUGAGCCAUUUCAGGUCCUGCAGUGCUCAUUGCAGCACCCGCUGGUAUUGGAGGUGCCCUGUGCAGCAGUAGUGGGGCAUUCCCACAGCCUGGAAACAAGCUGCAGCUCUCAUCACCACCAACAUCUCAGCCACGUGAGAAACAGGCCCAAGACAUCAUGCAAAUGCAGCUGAGCAUGGCCAUACUCCUGGCACUUCUGAACAUGGUACUGCAGGUGUGCUUCUUCCCCUUUGGAGACACUACCUGAGAGUGGGGUAUUUCCCAGAUGCGUCUAAAGGAAGAGCCUCUGCUCUGUCCGAUCCCGAUCCCGUUUUCUCUGUAACCCACGAUGUGCUGCCAUGGGUGCAGCAUUACGGCUGCUCACUGACCCUGCGAGCCGGGUGCCUUCAUCCCUCUCCCCACUGAAAACAGCCCUUAUGAGAAGCUUCAGUACAAGGUAUGUUCCAAGGGGAGAGCAGAAACACGAAGGCAUUUUACACAUUUCUUUUGGCUGGAGAAAAGUUACAAAAUAUGCAUAUGAAGUUACCCAGUGCCCGCGGGACAAAAUCCAACUUUUGAUUAUAUGCGGAAUUUCAACUUCUGCUAUAAACAAGGCGAGGAUUUAGUUUAUUUCGGCUCGGGGAGGGGCGAAACUCGCGUAGAGCCGAUGGCAGAGCGGUGAGGGAGGCGGUGCCGCCCCGCAGUGUGCGACCGCCGCGGUAGCGCCGCAACGUCCCGGCGCGUGGCUGUCAGCCGCGGUCUGGGGCAGGAGCGGAGGGAUUGGGGUGCGAGAUGGAAACUGCCGCCGGCGUGCGUGCUGUGGGAAGGAGCGGCCCUACCCACACAGAUAGCGCAGACGAACAAACAGAAGCUCGCGCGUGCCCACCACACCGGCGCCCCGCGGGUCCCGCACCGCACACCCGUGUGGCCCCGCGGUGCCGCCCCGCCCCGCCCCGCACUUGUUGCUGCCCCGCGCGGUGCUGACGUCACCGCUGCCGUCAUUACGGGGCACUGGAUUAUUUAUUUAUUUACCCAUUCAUUUAUUCACCCCACUUAUUUAUUUAUUUAUUUAUUUGCGUCUUACUCCCCCCCAUCCCUCCCGUCCCCUCGGCGUUUUGCGGCGUUGAGGCCGGGGCGGCUCCGAACCCCCCGCGAUGUUCCCCGCUUUUUUGCCGCGUCCCCUCCCGGCGCGGGAGCAUCACCGCGCGGGUGUUUAUAUAACCGCCCCCCGCCGCCGCCCUCCCGGGACCCCGCGCAUCCCGCGCCGGGGGGCUGGGGGGGAGCUGGGCGGCGGGAGGGAGAGCGCACAGCCCGGUCCCGCACCCCGCGCCCGGAGCGGGCCGCCCCGCCGGGCCGAGCAGCGCCCCUCGCGCCGCAGGAAAUGGGCUUUAUAUUAGACAUAUACGCGCAGGUCCUGUCAGAUCCGCAGCGCUCCCGCCCGUCCUUUCGGGCCCCCAAAAAUCGGGGGACGCCGCCGUCGCCCCUCUCUCCGCGCAGCCGCCCCUCCGCCGCCCCCCCGCGCCUCGC